rnacentral:rRNA from 1 species
UACGUAGGGUGCGAGCGUUGUCCGGAUUUAUUGGGCGUAAAGAGCUCGUAGGCGGUUUGUCGCGUCGGCCGUGAAAUCUCCACGCUUAACGUGGAGCGUGCGGUCGAUACGGGCAGACUUGAGUUCGGUAGGGGAGACUGGAAUUCCUGGUGUAGCGGUGAAAUGCGCAGAUAUCAGGAGGAACACCGGUGGCGAAGGCGGGUCUCUGGGGCCUUACCUGACGCUGAGGAGCGAAAGCGUGGGUAGCGAACAGG